rnacentral:rRNA from 1 species
AGUAAUGUAUGGGGAUCUGCCUGAUGGCGGGGGGUAACUACUGGAAACGGUAGCUAAUACCGCAUAAUGUCUGCGGACCAAAGCGGGGGACCUCCGAGCCUCGCGCCAUCAGAUGAACCCAUGUGGGAUUAGCUUGUAGGUAAGGUAACGGCUUACCUAGGCGACGAUCCCUAGCUGGUCUGAGAGGAUGAUCAGCCACACUGGGACUGAGACACGGUCCAG